rnacentral:rRNA from 1 species
CCUACGGGUGGCAGCAGUGGGGAAUAUUGCACAAUGGGGGAAACCCUGAUGCAGCAACGCCGCGUGAAGGAAGACGGCUUUCGGGUUGUAAACUUCUUUCAAUAGGGAAGAAAGAAACGACGGUACUAACAUAAGAAACCCCCGCUAACUACGGGCCAGCAGCCGCGGUAAUACGUAGGGGGCAAGCGUGAUACGGAAUUACUGGGUGUAAAGGGAGAGUAGGCGGAAAGGUAAGCGAUAUGUGAAAGCCUUAAGCUUAACUUAAGGAUUGCAUAACAAACUAGCUAGCUAGAGUACAGGAGAGGAAAGCGGAAUUCCUAGUGUAGCGGUGAAAUGCGUAGAUAUUAGGAAGAACACCAGUGGCGAAGGCGGCUCUCUGGACUGAAACUGACGCUGAGGCGCGAAAGCGUGGGGAGCGAACAGGAUUAGAUACCCUUGUAGUC